rnacentral:rRNA from 1 species
GACGAACGCUGGCGGCGUGCUUAACACAUGCAAGUCGAACGAAGAGCGAUGGAAGCUUGCUUCUAUCAAUCUUAGUGGCGAACGGGUGAGUAACGCGUAAUCAACCUGCCCUUCAGAGGGGGACAACAGUUGGAAACGAUUGCUAAUACCGCAUACGAUCUAACCUCGGCAUCGAGGAUAGAUGAAAGGUGGCCUCUAUUUAUAAGCUAUCACUGAAGGAGGGGAUUGCGUCUGAUUAGCUAGUUGGAGGGGUAACGGCCCACCAAGGCGAUGAUCAGUAGCCGGUCUGAGAGGAUGAACGGCCACAUUGGGACUGAGACACGGCCCAGACUCCUACGGGAGGCAGCAGUGGGGAAUCUUCCGCAAUGGACGAAAGUCUGACGGAGCAACGCCGCGUGAGUGAUGACGGCCUUCGGGUUGUAAAGCUCUGUUAAUCGGGACGAAAGGCCUUCUUGCGAAUAGUUAAAAGGAUUGACGGUACCGGAAUAGAAAGCCACGGCUAACUACGUGCCAGCAGCCGCGGUAAUACGUAGGUGGCAAGCGUUGUCCGGAAUUAUUGGGCGUAAAGCGCGCGCAGGCGGAUUGGUCAGUCUGUCUUAAAAGUUCGGGGGCUUAACCCCGUGAUGGGAUGGAGACUGCCAAUCUAGAGUAUCUGAGAGGAAAGUGGAAUUCCUAGUGUAGCGGUG